rnacentral:rRNA from 1 species
AACGAACGCUGGCGGCAUGCCUAACACAUGCAAGUCGAACGGGAUCCUAGCUUGCUAGGUGAGAGUGGCGGACGGGUGAGUAACACGUGGGAAUCUCGCCUUUUUGGUUCGGGAUAACCGCGGGAAACUGCGGCUAAUACCGAAUGCCCUCGAGAGAGGAAAGAUUUAUCGCCAGAAGAGGAGCCCGCGUCCGAUUAGGUAGUUGGUGGGGUAAAGGCCUACCAAGCCGGACGAUCGGUAGCUGGUCUGAGAGGAUGAUCAGCCACACUGGACUGAGAUACGGCCCAGACUCCUACGGGAGGCAGCAGUGGGGAA